GUAUCAGCCAUUUACCCCACUUCCCUCCACAUUUCAUCAAGUGGUCAUGCUAGAGACAUAAACAGUCAUGGAUAAUUAUGAGAUGAGAUCCUUCCGAAUGGGGUAAGAGAAAGAAUACCUAGAACGAUUAGUCUAUUAUUUUAGUUCUCUCUCCUUUUCUUAAUUGAAGAAAUAAUUGGAAAAUAAAACAGCAAGUACAAAAAUGAGUAAUAACCCCCAGUAGAGGCUGGUACGAUUCAAUUCAACAUUUUGUUCGUUUGGGUUUGAUUGUGUCGUAGCUCUAUAAUUCGGAUUAGGUUUAUCGUUGUAUGAACUGCAUUGCUGAUAUUGACCCCAAAAAAGAAACGGUAGGUACAGCUAGGCCGUGAACAGUCAACCAUCGCACUGUAAAAAUUGGAUAGGUUCGAUCUAUGGUCAUUGAAGCCUCCUAAAAAGAUCUACUAAAUUCAUCGAGUUGUUCCAAAGAAUCAAAACGGCCGGUGAUUAAUGGAAUUCCUUGUCGGUUUUCUGUGAAAUACUCGUUUGGCCGAGGGCUUCCAAACACAUCGUAAGCUAAACCAGUGCUGACGAAUAACCAACCCGCAAUGAAUAGGGAAGGUAUAGUAAUGCUAUGAAUGACCCAGUAGCGAAUACUGGUAAUAAUAUCAGCAANUGGUAGGUACAGCUAACAGUCAACCAUCGCACUGUAAAAAUUGGAUAGGUUCGAUCUAUGGUCAUUGAAGCCUCCAAAAAAGAUCUACUAAAUUCAUCGAGUUGUUCCAAAGAAUCAAAACGGCCGGUGAUUA
rnacentral:lncRNA from 1 species